rnacentral:rRNA from 1 species
GGAAUUUUGCGCAAUGGGCGAAAGCCUGACGCAGCAACGCCGCGUGAGUGAUGAAGGCCUUCGGGUCGUAAAGCUCUGUCAGAGGGGAAGAACCACCUGUCGGUUAAUAUCCGGCAGGCCUGACGGUACCCUCAAAGGAAGCACCGGCUAACCCCGUGCCCGCAGCCGCGGUAAUACGGAGGGUGCAAGCGUUGUUCGGAAUUAUUGGGCGUAAAGGGCGCGCAGGCGGUCUGUUAAGUCUGAUGUGAAAGCCCCGGGCUCAACCCGGGAAGUGCAUUGGAAACUGGCAGACUUGAGUACGGGAGAGGGUAGUGGAAUUCCGCAUGUAGGGGUGAAAUCCGUAGAUAUGCGGAGGAACACCGGUGGCGAAGGCGGCUACCUGGACCGAUACUGACGCUGAGGCGCGAAAGCGUGGGGAGCAAA